AUGAUGACUGACCGGCCCUAUGUCACCAGGUGUGACCUGUCAGAUCAGCACCAGAGCAGAAUCAUGGAUCUCAUCCGUAGGAACAUGAAGCCCCAGUUGUUCUCCUUUAUUGUUCUGAUGGUGGGUCCCAGAUAUGAGAGUGUUCUGUCUCAGGUGCAACUACAGGAGUCAGGAGCAGGACUGGUGAAGCCCUCGCAGACCCUCUCCCUCACCUGUGCCGUCUCUGCUUACUCCAUCAGCAGUGGUUAUCAUUGCAGCUGGAUCUGCCAGUCAGAGGGAAAGGAGCUGGAGUGGAUUGGACAGAUCUGUAGGGAUGGGAGCACUUACUACAGCUCGUCCCUCAAGAGUCAAGUCGCCAUCUCCAGAGACAUGUCCAAGAACCUGUUGUGCCAGCACCUGAGCUUGUGA